rnacentral:rRNA from 1 species
GACGAACGCUGGCGGCGUGCUUAACACAUGCAAGUCGAACGGAAAGGCCCUGCUUUUGUGGGGUGCUCGAGUGGCGAACGGGUGAGUAACACGUGAGUAACCUGCCCUUGACUUUGGGAUAACUUCAGGAAACUGGGGCUAAUACCGGAUAGGAGCUCCUGCUGCAUGGUGGGGGUUGGAAAGUUUCGGCGGUUGGGGAUGGACUCGCGGCUUAUCAGCUUGUUGGUGGGGUAGUGGCGUACCAAGGCUUUGACGGGUAGCCGGCCUGAGAGGGUGACCGGCCACAUUGGGACUGAGAUACGGACCAGACUCCUACGGGAGGCAGUAGUGGGGAAUAUUGCACAAUGGGCGGAAGCCUGAUGCAGCAACGCCGCGAGCGGGAUGCCGGCCUUCGGGUUGUAAACCGCUUUCGCCUGUGACGAAGCGUGAGUGACGGUAAUGGGUAAAGAAGCACCGGCUAACUACGUG